rnacentral:rRNA from 1 species
UCUUUCUUUGCUGGCGACCGGCGCACGGGUGAGUAACACGUAUCCAACCUGCCCUUUACUCGGGGAUAGCCUUUCGAAAGAAAGAUUAAUACCCGAUAGCAUAAUGAUUCCGCAUGGUUUCAUUAUUAAAGGAUUCCGGUAAAGGAUGGGGAUGCGUUCCAUUAGGUUGUUGGUGAGGUAACGGCCCACCAAGCCUUCGAUGGAUAGGGGUUCUGAGAGGAAGGUCCCCCACAUUGGGACUGAGACACGGUCCAA